UGAGUAAUGCAAAAGUUGGUGAGAAUCUAAUGCCUCGAUAACCCAAGGGUUCCUCCGUAAGGUUUUUCCAUGAAGGGUGAGUCAGGGCCUAAGAUCAGGCCAAAAGGCGUAGUAGAUGGACAACAGGUGAAUAUUCCUGUACUACCCUUUGUUAGUCUCGAGGGAAGAAGGAGGCUAGGUUAGCCAAAAGAUGGUUAUCGGUUCAAGAAUGCAAGGUGCCCCUUCUUUUGAGGUUAAUAAAGGGUAGAGAAAAUGCCUCGAGCCAAAGUUCGAGUACUAGGCACUAUAGCGUUGAAGUAAAUCAUGCCAUACUCCUAGGAAAAGCUCGAACGACCUUCAACAAAUGGGUACUUGUAUCCGAAACCGACACAGGUGGGUAGGUAGAGAAUACCUAGGGGCCUAGGGGCGCGAGACAACUCUCUCUAAGGAACUUGGCAAAAUAGUCCCGUAACUUCGGGAGAAGGGGUGCCUCCUCACAAAGGGGGUUGUAGUGACCAGGCCCAAGUGACUGUUUACCAAAAACACAGGUCUCCACAAAGUCGUAAGACCAUGUAUGGGGGUUGACGCCUGCCCAUUGCCGGAAGGUCAAGGAAGUUGGUGACUUGAUGAUAGGGGAGCCGAAGAUCGAAGCCCUGGUGAAUGGCAGUUGUAACUAUAACAGUCCUAAGGUCGCAAAAUUCCUUGUCCGGCAAGUUCUAACAUGAUAAUGAUGAUGAUGAUGAUGAUGAUGAUGAUGAUGAUGAUGAUGA
rnacentral:ncRNA from 1 species